rnacentral:rRNA from 1 species
GGAAUGAGUACAAUUUAAAUCCCUUAACGAGGAACAAUUGGAGGGCAAGUCUGGUGCCAGCAGCCGCGGUAAUUCCAGCUCCAAUAGCGUAUAUUAAAGUUGUUGUGGUUAAAAAGCUCGUAGUUGAACCUUGGGCCUGGCUGGCCGGUCCGCCUCACCGCGUGUACUGGUCCGGCCGGGCCUUUCCCUCUGUGGAACCCCAUGCCCUUCACUGGGUGUGGCGGGGAAACAGGACUUUUACUGUGAAAAAAUUAGAGUGCUCCAGGCAGGCCUAUGCUCGAAUACAUUAGCAUGGAAUAAUAGAAUAGGACGUGUGGUUCUAUUUUGUUGGUUUCUAGGACCGCCGUAAUGAUUAAUAGGGACAGUCGGGGGCAUCAGUAUUCAAUUGUCAGAGGUGAAAUUCUUGGAUUUAUUGAAGACUAACUACUGCGAAAGCAUUUGCCAAGGAUGUUUUCAUUAAUCAGGAACGAAAGUUAGGGGAUCGAAGACGAUCAGAUACCGUCGUAGUCUUAACCAUAAACUAUGCCGACUAGGGAUCGGACGGUGUUAUUUUUUGACCCGUUCGGCACCUUACGAGAAAUCAAAGUGCUUGGGCUCCAGGGGGAGUAUGGUCGCAAGGCUGAAACUUAAAGGA